AAUAAAGUGCCUGAUUUAAAAGGAUUAUUUUGAUAGAAUAAAUCAUGUGAAAUUCACCUUUAUUG
rnacentral:tRNA from 1 species